ACCCAUCUGACCGGGUUUCUCCAGCCACUCAGGGCAGCUUCCAACAUAAUAUAAAAACACAACUAAACACUAAGCAUUACAAACUUCUCAAUACAAGGGAAGGGAAUUUUUUAAUGUGUGAUAUUUUAAUGUAUUUUUAAUUUUUGUUGGAAGCUGCCCAGAGUGGCUGGAGAAACCCAGCCAGAUGGGC